rnacentral:rRNA from 1 species
CCUCCUACGGGAGGCAGCAGUGAGGAAUAUUGGUCAAUGGACGCAAGUCUGAACCAGCCAAGUAGCGUGCAGGAUGACGGCCCUCCGGGUUGUAAACUGCUUUUAGUUGGGAAUAAAAGGGGGCUCGUGAGCCCCGUAUUGUAUGUACCAUCAGAAAAAGCAUCGGCUAACUCCGUGCCAGCAGCCGCGGUAAUACGGAGGAUGCGAGCGUUAUCCGGAUUUAUUGGGUUUAAAGGGUGCGUAGGCGGACUGUUAAGUCAGCGGUAAAAGCCCGGGGCUCAACCCCGGCGAGCCGUUGAAACUGG